rnacentral:lncRNA from 1 species
CGGUUUUUCCGACCGGCUUUGCCUCCGGCGUUACAUCCUUCGAUGAUCGUCUGUCUUUUGCUUCUGGGAAGCGGUGGCUUCCUUAGCACACGCUUCGCCGGCUUCUGUCUUCGGGAUUCGGUGGCUCCGUUAGCGCUGUUUUCGCCGGCUCAGUUUGAUUGUCGAUUCAAGUUCUUCUCUCUCCCACCGACUCUCGAUCUACCUCUUCAUCGGAAUCAGAUGGAUCGAUUGAAGACGGUGAUAUCUUUUCUGAAUCGAUGAUUCGGUUGCGUUUUGUUUAUGUGAUGCUUCUCUGCAUGGGUGGUUCUUCACCGAAUUGUCUCUGCUGAUGGCGGAUCUCCGACGUAACCUCUCCGGGGAAGGAGAUGGCUCCGGUCUUGACGCGUGUUCUCGAAUCGUGUGUCGAUCAGACACGUGGUGGCUCGUGGCGUUUUCCUUCUCGACAGUUUUUGCCUCUAUUGGGCUGUUGACCCAUAAAGUUUUGUAAAGCUGGCCCGUUUGUUUAGGCCUUUCGUUCUUUAUGUUGGGCUUUGCCCAUUUGGGCUUUGUUCCCUUUUAUAAUAAUCAGAUGGAAAAAAAAAAAAGAUACAAUUUCACAAAAGAUAAA